UCUCCUCAUUGGAGGCAGUGAUUGUCAACAGGAGAGAUUGUGGCUGUGGAGUGAUGGAACGCCUUUCCGCUAUUCAAAGUGGUGUCCUGGAGAGCCCAAUAACCACAGCACUACACAGCACUGCAUAUAAAUUAAUUUUGGAGCUUCCAAGUGUUGGGAUGAUGUGCAGUGUCAUGUACGCCGUCCAUCUGUCUGAAUUAUUUCAACUUGUCGUGAUAGGUUUUCCUUUUGACUCCAACUGUU